GCCUGGGUGGCUCAGUCGGUUGAGCGUCUGACUUCAGCUCAGGUCAUGAUCUCGCGGUCCGUGAGUUCGAGCCCCGCGUCGGGCU
rfam:Felis catus isolate Cinnamon breed Abyssinian chromosome F2, whole genome shotgun sequence.